rnacentral:tRNA from 1 species
GGGGCAAGAGUCUGGGCAGACAUCAGUCUUGUAAGCUGGGAAGGGAGAGUUAGCUACCUCCUUGCCCCU